AUUAUUAUUAUUACUUGUAUAUUAACUUGUUCUAACUCGUUCUAACUUGUCUUAUUAAGAUAAGUUAGGAAUUUGUUGUUUACCAUAAAAACAGGAUGUUCUUAGAUAAGAUAAGAUAAGAUUUUGUGGUUAACCACAAAUGGAAUUACGUAGGUUUACCUUGUUCUAACUUGUUUUAUUACGAUAAGAUAUGUUUAUUAACGUGUUCAGACUUGUCUUCUUAUUAAGAAAAGAUAUUUAAGAAGUGGAUGUUAUCAUUUGAUUCAGUUGGCUUCCACGAGUUAUUCGGUAAACAAGUGAGUGAUACCAUUUUUUUAAAUUCUUCUUCACAAAAGAAAUAAAAAUGGAAAAUAAUCUUCCAAAUUAUUAUAUAAAUAAUUAUGACCCAGAACCUCUAAUUGUUGAUGAACCCUCAGCUUCAACAAAUCUUGAAGACCCUUCAGGCAGUGAAAACAAUCCUUCAGGCAGUGAAAACAAUGAAGUUGGUCCAGAUGAAAUUUUAUUACAAUUAAAUCAACGAGGUGCAUGUGAAUUGCCUCCACUUAUUAAAAUUGAUUCUCUAAUUCAGAAGAAAGAAUAUAAAAUAAGAAAUCUCAUAAGAUUGAAAACAAAAACAGGAUGGGGCGUUAUAUGCGAAAUUGAUGAGGGUAACUUCUUUAUUCCUCAAAGAAUUGUAUCAAUUUUAAAUAACAGAGCCAUAAAAUAUCUGUUAAGUGGAAAAGGUUCCGUAAUAAUUUACUUAGGAAAAAAAAAUACGGGACAGGUGAACUGGGCUAAUAUUGUCGAGUUUAAAAAGAUCACAUAAUUAUGUCUGCUACUCCGUUAACAACAUUAUCAUCAUCAUCAUCAUCACCACCACCUCCAUCACCAUCAACAUCAACAUCAGCUUCCUCUUCUUUGACGUCGACUUUCGCAUUAUCAACUAUAAAUUUAGAGAAAUUUAUUGAAAUUCUACGAUGUCCAAAAAAAUAUAAAAUUUUUUUACAAAACGCUAUUUCCGAUUAUGAUUAUAAAACCUUUAAAAAUUUUAUUAGAAACAAGGAAAAAAUUUUAGAAAAUAAUCAACAACAAGCAACAAGUUUAGGAGAGAAAAAAAAAUAUGAAUACUACAUUUCAAGAGUAAAAACUUUAUUCACGCACUUUCAAGAAAAAAUAUCCUCUUCAACAAAAUAUGGAAAAGGUUUACAACAAGAUAUACGUCAGAAAAUUUCCUUUGUUAAAAUUUCAUCAGCUUUUAAUAAUCGGCUACGAACUUAUUUAAUCAGCAAUAAUUAUUACAUAGAACCGAAAUAUUUUUUUGAACAUUGCAAGGAAAUUCUAAUUAUCAAAUUUGAAAAAAUUUUACGAAAAUUAGGAGCUUUUAAAAUUAACAUUAUAUUAAAUUGUAUUUAUCAAUUAAAAGUAACUAAAGAACAUGCCUUUCGAAGUUUUAACACCCAGAAUCAAUCAGUCUUUCACUCUGAAGAAAUACCUUCAAUUUUAGAAAAUUUAUUUGAUGCUAUAUUAAAUCAGAUGGAUGAUUUCACUGAAAAUAAGUCUGGUGAAGCAUUAGAAAGUAUUGAAAAUUUGAUGAUUUCCAUAAACAAAUUAUCGAUAUUUAAUAUAUCGCAAAAUGAAGAAGAAGAAGAAGAUACCACCUCCCAUUCUAGUGACUCUGGGGGAACAUACAUUCCUCUUCCUAUUGAGCUGAAACGAAAAGGUUCUUGUUUUAUUAAUAUUUUUAAUAAUGAUAAUUAUUGUUUUGUUUAUUCUAUCUUGGCUGCACUUUUUCCUGUUAAUCACUCUAAAUAUGAGAGAGUUGAAUCUUAUCCUAGUAAUGUUCAUGAAAUUUUAAACUUAAAAAAUAUUGAAAUGCCUGUUAAAAUAAAAGAUAUUUCCAAAUUUGAAAAACAGAAUCCUACUAUUUCUAUUAAUGUAUUUAAAUUCAACGAAAAAACCCGACAAAUUGAUGGUCCUAUUUAUCAUACAAAAAAUGUAAAAGAAAAACAUAUAAAUUUAUUAUAUUUAACUAAAAAUAAUAUUAACACUAAUGGUCAUUAUUGCUUAAUUACUAAUCUUGCAAAAGCAUGUGGAAGCAGCAUAAGUAAAAAUGAGCAUCAAAUAUUUUUUUGUGAUCGUUGUUUACAACAUAUUCCUUCGAAAUCAAAAGAUAAAAUUGAUAGACAUAAACGGGAUUGUUCAACAUUUCCUGCAGUUAAAACAAGCUUACCUGAACCGAAUUCUCCAGAAAGUCUUUUACAUUUUUCACAGUUUAAGUCAUUGCUACGUUUACCAUUUGUUAUAUAUGCAGACUUUGAAUGUUUAACAGUUCCAUUAGAUACUUGUUACCCCAAUACAAAAAAUUCUUUUACGAAUCCAUAUCAAAAACAUGUUGCAUAUAGUAUAGCAUAUUUUAUUAAAUGUUCUUUUGAUAGUAAAUUAGAUAGUUUUAAGACUUAUAGAGGAGAAAAGCCUCAAGAGUGGUUUAUUUCAGAAUUAAAAGAAAUUUGCAAAUUUGUAAAUAACAUAUUGUUAAAACAAAAGAAAAUACUAAAUAAACCUCUAUCAGAAUUAGAAAAAGAGUUACAUGAAACAACUAAUAAUUGUAAUUUAUGUGGUUACAAUUUUACAGAUAAUAAUAAAAAAGUUAUACAUCAUAACCAUUUAACUGGUGAAUUUAUUUCUACAAUAUGCAAUAAUUGUAAUUUACAAAUUCAAAUUUCAAAUAAGUUGCCAGUUUUUUUACAUAAUUUGUCUGGAUAUGACGCUCACCUUUUUAUUACAGAAUUUAUUAAUAAUUUUUCAAAUACUGAAAUAAUACCAUUGAAUCAUGAAAAUUAUAUUUCAUUUUCAGGAAUACAUUGUAACAUGAAAAUUACGUUUUUAGAUUCUUUUCGCUUUCUACCUACAUCAUUAGAUAAACUUGUAUCUUUUUUAAAGCCAAAUCAGUUUUCUCUUAUGAAAGCUUUUUUCCCCAAUGUUACAGAUAAUGUUUUUCAAUUAUUAUUAAAAAAAGGAGUAUUUCCGUAUGAUUAUAUCACUUCCUUAUCUGUCUUCGAAGAUACCCAAUUACCAACAAAACCACAAUUUUUUAAUCGAAUGAUAAAUAAACAUAUUUCAGAUAAAGAUUAUUUUCAUGCACAGAAUGUUUGGGAAAAAUUUGGAAUUAAAACUUUAGGAGAAUACUCCGAUUUAUAUUUAAAAUGUGAUGUAAUUCAAUUAGCUGAUGUUUUCGAAAAUUUUCGCGACUUAACAAUGAAAUAUUACCAACUUGAUGCUGCAUCCUUCUAUACUAGUCCAGGCCUUUCAUGGGCAGCUGCUUUAAAAAUCACAAAAGUUAAACUUGAAUUGUUUACCGAUAGUGAAAUGUUUUUGUUCAUCGAAAAAUCAAUACGCGGAGGAAUUACUCAAGCGGUACAUAGAUAUGCUGAAUGUAAUAAUACACAUUAUUCAAAAACAUAUGAUCCUACAAAACCUAUAGAUUAUCUUUUUUAUAUCGAUGCUAACAAUUUAUAUGGCUGGGCUUUAAGUCAAAAGUUACCUAUUGGAAAUUUUCAUUGGUUAUCAACAAAUGAAAUUAAUGAAAUUUUCGCUGAGCCUCAAAAAUUAAAUACUAAUGAUAACAAAGGGUUUAUUUUAGAAGUUGACUUAUAUUAUGAUAAAAGUAUACACGAUGAACAUGAUGAUUUUCCUUUUUGUCCUGAACCACGAAAUUCAAAGUUAAUGUGUACGUUAUAUGAUAAACAAAAUUACGUUAUACAUUAUAAAAAUUUGUUACAGUGUAUAAAAUAUGGUUUACAAAUUAAAAAAAUUCAUCGAGUUUUAACAUUUGACCAAGACGCAUGGUUAAAACCUUAUAUUGAAUUUAAUACAAAAUUGCGUAUGGAAGCUAAAAAUGAAUUCGAGAAAGGAUUUUUUAAACUUUUAAUAAAUUCUAUCUUUGGAAAAACAUUAGAAUCAGACCGGAAAAAACGUAAAAUUGUAUUAGUAAAAAAUUGGAAACAAGCCAGAAAAUACAUUCUAAAACCAGAAUUUAAAAACGUUAAAAUACUAAAUAAGAAUUUAGUUAGCAUCGAAUUAAAUAAAACCGAAAUCAAAAUGAAAAGGCCAAUCUACGUAGGAUUUACUGUUUUAGAAUUAUCAAAAAUUAUUAUGUACGAUUUUCAUUACGAUUUUAUUAAUAAGCAAAUAAAAAAUUAUUUUCAAUCAAAAUUAUUAUAUAUGGAUACUGAUAGUUUUAUUUAUAAAAUGACAUGUAAAAAAGAAAAUUAUUCGCUUUAUGAUCUAAUACGAGAUUUUGCAAAUUCAAAAUUUGAUACUAGUGAUUAUGAUGUAAAUAAUAUUUGGAAUAUUCCUCUUGUAAAUAAAAAAAUUCCAGGAUUAAUGAAAGAUGAAUUGAAUGGUAAAAUUCUUACAGAGUUUAUUACUCUAAGACCAAAAGUUUAUGAUUAUAAAGUGAAUGGAGAAGUAAAAGAGCCUAAAAUAAAGGGAAUUAAAAAAAGUGCAGUCAUUAUAGAUUUUGUAGAUAAUGUUGAUAAUGAUAGUUAUAGGAUUACUAAUACUAGAAAAAUAGAAUUUAACGAUAUAUAUGAAUGUUUAUUUAAUAAUACAGUAGGUUAUGUUAAUUUUAAUACUAUAAGAUCAAUUAAUCAUGAACUAUUUUCUGUAAAUAUUAAUAAGUUAGGAUUAAAUGCAUUAGAUAAUAAGAGAUAUAUUUUAGAUGAUCUAAUUAGUACUCACGCUUGGGGGCAUUAUUCAAUUCCUUAACCCCUUCUAAGUUUUUGUAAAAUUUAAUACUUUUUUUAAAUAUUUUUUCCAAAUAUUAAUAAAAUAUUUGUUUGUUCUA